AGAGACAUCAAGAGCCACUGAUCAUCUGAAUCAGCCUGAAUGCGUCUAAAACCCAAGACUGCCUGACUGCGGCACCAAUUAAACCAAAGCAGAUUUGUAAAGAAGACCGUUCUAUGAUCAGCUGUGUUAUAUGUGGCAUGAAUCUGUUGAUUAUGAUCUUCUGAAGACUGAUUUGCGACAAUCGACGUUGUGUGUCAUCAUUAUUUGCCGACACAAAACUAUAUAAUAGUGUUCCAGGAACAGUCAACACGUGACCUGCUGGUAAACUGAUCACCUGGACUGAAUCCAGCUGCACUCAAGUAAACAAUAAAGACAGAAAGUAUGUUUUUGCAGGUUAUUUAAGUAUGAAAAGUGUGUUUGCACGGUAUAAACAUUGACGUGGUUUAUAGCAGCCGUAAGGAAGUGGGAAGAACAGGACCUGGAAGAUCGUAAAACUCAAGACUUUAAGACUCAAGCAUGUUUUACACACGGUGUGUGGUAUAAAUAGCGUACUUCAAUCGCGUAGGAAGGAGGAAAGCAAAACAAGGGCUGUGUGUCUGUUAUGGAUCUGCCGUUCUCAAAUUUUGAAUUGGUCUUCAUCUUCAUUGCCUUUACUGUCAUGUGUUUAUUUGGCCUGUCUGCUGUCUACAGACAUAAUACAGGCGAUCAAGAUGAUGGCAUUCAGACAGUGCAGAAGACAACAGAACAAAUGGAAAACACAAAGAAGAAAGAUGUCACCGAAACCAGUACAUAACUGCCAUGAACAUACUCUUAUAUACAGUAGCUACUCAUUUGUGCAAUAUGUGUCCACACUGGUGUGAUCUCAGCGUAGCUGACAGGAUAAUUGUGGGAUUAUAGACAGAGUCUCAAUUUAAUGGAGUAAGCAACUUUAUGCAUUCAUACAAAUGCCAGGUGGCGAACGCAAUGCGUAUGAUAGCUUCGCAACAGCCAUUUUUGAUAGUACAGGGACAAAUCCGAUUUAAAUUAUUGCAUGUAUCUUCUAUUUUAAUGCUGUUUUCAUGUGUUGAUUUCUGCUAGGCUGUGGCUGGCAAGAAUGUAUUUAUUUAUUUAUUUUAAUUAACACAGGUAUGUAUUAAAGAUCAAAUUUCUAUGUACAAAAGUAAACAUGAUUUUCCUUACUGGGAUUGUUAUGCACAUGCUACCUUAAAUUCACUGUGAUAGCCAAAAGCAAAAGAUCUACAAAAGACCAACACUGUCCCAAAUGCAAACACAUCAAAUAUCAAUUAAG